UACAGAGGGUGCGAGCGUUGUUCGGAAUUACUGGGCGUAAAGCGCGCGCAGGCGGCCCUUUAAGUCUACCCGUGAAAUGCCGGAGCUCAACUCCGUGUACGCCGGGGGAUACUGGGGGGCUGGAGACAUGUAGAGGCAAGCGGAAUUCCGGGUGUAGCGGUGGAAUGCGUAGAGAUCCGGAAGAACACCUGAGGCGAAGGCGGCUUGCUGGGCACGAUCUGACGCUGAGGCGCGAAAGCGUGGGGAGCAAACAGG
rnacentral:rRNA from 1 species